UCGGGGGUCAGGGGUCAGGGACCCACUUGAGGAGGCAGUCUGCCCGUUCUCAGAUCUCUAGCUGCGUGCUGGGAGAACCACUGCUCUCUUCAAAGCUGUCAGACAGGGACAUUUAAGUCUGCAGAGGUUUUGCUGUCUUUUUGUUUGUCUGUGCCCUGCCCCCAGAGGUGGAGCCUACAGAGGCAGGCAGGCCUCCUUGAGCUGUGGUGGGCUCCACCCAGUUCGAGCUUCCAGGCUGCUUUGUUUACCUAAUCAAGCCUGGGCAAUGGCGGGCGCCCCUCCCCCAGCUUCGCUGCCGCCUUGCAGUUUGAUCUCAGACUGCUGUGCUAGCAAUCAGCGAGACUUCGUGGGCGUAGGACCCUCCGAGCCAGGUGUGGGGUAUAAUCUCGUGGUGCGCCGUUUUUUAAGCCCGUCGGAAAAGCGCAGUAUUCGGGUGGGAGUGACCCGAUUUUCCAGUGAGAUGAACCCGGUACCUCAGAUGGAAAUGCAGAAAUCACCCGUCUUCUGCGUCGCUCACGCUUGGAGCUGCAGACCGGAGCUGUUCCUAUUUGGCCAUCUUGGCUUCUCCCUCCAAGGUGAAUAUCAUGUUCCAUGAAAGAAGGGUUAGUUCAGCCUGCAACUCAAACAAGUACAGAUAUUCUUCCAUGGAAUGACCAUCAUACUUGGAUUGUAAUAAAAAUGCUUUAGGCAAACUUCUCAUUUCAUCCUUGGCAUAUUAAAAAUAUGUAUGUUUAAGGCUUGAAACUUAACACUGUGUUUUAAUGUUUCAGUAAGGUAAUUCUUAAAUAAAAUUGGCAUUUUUAAAAAAGCCCUCUCUCACCACUCCUACUCAACAUAGUGUUGGAAGUUCUGGCCAGGGCAAUUAGACAGGAGAAAGAAAUAAAGGGUAUUCAAUUAGGAAAAGAGGAAGUCAAAUUGUCCGUUUGCAGAUGACAUGAUUGUAUAUCUAGAAAACCCCAUUGUCUCAGCCCAAAAUCUCCUUAAGCUGAUAAGCAACUUCAGCAAAGUCUCAGGAUAUAAAAUCAAUGUACAAAAAUCACAAGCAUUCUUAUACACCAACAACAGACAGAGAGCCAAAUUAUGAGUGAACUCCCAUUCACAAUUGCUUCCAAGAGAAUAAAAUACCUAGGAAUCCAACUUACAAGGGAUGUGAAGGACCUCU